rnacentral:lncRNA from 1 species
ACCUGAUCAAUAAACCUCAUUUUUAUUGCAUCGAUCUCCGUCUCUGUGUUUCUGUGAGUGGGACAUCCUGGACUAAGGCUCAUUGGGUCUUACAAGGUCAGAAGAGUUGGAUGCCUUGAAACUGGAGUUACAGGAAAUUGGUUUCCUGCUUGAUGUCUGAGGAGGCAUUUGCUAAGAUUCAGCCUCACCAAAAAUCAUGAUGCUGAUGACAAUGGCGGCCGCCCUCUGCCAGGUGGCCACUCAGAGCUUGGAGCUUGUCCUAGCAUUCCCAGGAAGUGAUCACAGCUCAUCCUGCACAGGUCCUUGUGGUCCCUAAAUGGUCUGCAGCAAGACAGAGCGCCCCUAGUUAUGAGGACCCUGCUCAUUGCUGGGACCUGAAGCCAAUGGCUCAUCUCUCCUUCCCACCAUUCACUUGCUUCACUUUGCUUCCUCGAUUCACCACAUAAAUCACUUGCGCCCAGGCCUUUUCCUUAUGGUUCGCUUUGGGGCAGUGUACAUGGAGAUGAAUGCCAUUUCAGUGUGCUUAAGACUUGUUCUUAGGACCCAUACUAUGAAGCACCUUUCAGACAGGUCAGUGAGGUGGUUUAGUGGAACCUACAAGAGGUAUCUCAGUGCCCCGUGUUGCCUGAUUACCACUGUUUAGGAAUCCCAUUGGCCCUCCUUGCUCUAACUCACCAUUUACCCUCUACAGGGGACACAGCAGGCUUUCUGGUAGUGAGGCUAGACAUACUUUUCUCCCCACAGUUUUCAGGCUUCUGUUUUGAUGCUGCUGGUUCUUUGCGUUGACUCGCAAUCACUGAGUAAUUCUCGUUACCUCUCCUGACUGGAGGUGAUGAAGACAAUUUCUCCCACCCCCUUCACUGGUGCUCAGAAUUUGGGUGCUAAGGAGAGAGGAACUUUGUCACUGUACAUGGCUGUGGAGAUUCCUCUCUCUAGCAAUGCUCUCUCUGUGGUCCUGGGAGGUGGAGCAGGGACAGGGAGCCAGGCAGAAGUGGGCCUCCUGGCAGGUUCAUGUCACCUUUUAGGGGAAAUAAAACCUUUUAACUACACACUUUGGGAUUCCUGUGUAAUCUGCCCUUGUGGUUUGACUGGGCAUGGGAUGGGGUGGGCAGGUAGAGGCAAGCUUGUCAGUUAGCUGCAGUCAGAUGAGAGAGUCUCAUGAAGAAUCUAAUAUUGGAUGGGGAAUGAGGAUUACCUAGAUGUACACAGAAUGCCAAGCAUUGCCUCAGUUAGAGUUUCAUUGCUGGGAAGAGACACCACGACCAUGGCAACUCUUAUAAAGGACAACAUUUAAUUGAGGCUUGCGUACAGUUUCAUUAUCAUUAUGGCUGGAAGCAUGGCAGCAUGUACACAGACAUGGAGCUGGUGCAGCUGAGAGUUCUACACCUUGAUCCGAAAGCACCCAGGAGGAGACUGUCCUCAGCAGGCAGUCAGGAGCAGUGAGUGACGCUUGAACACUAGGAGCCCUCAAUCUACAGAACUGCAGGACAUCCUUCCUCUAACAAGGCCACACCCACUCCAACAAGGCCACACCUCCUAAUAGUGCCCCUUCCCAUGGAAGCACC